AAUUUUGUUAAAUUUUUGCCAACAUCUCUCAUCACACUUUUUAAACAUUAAAAAAAUUAAAAAAAUUAAAAAAAAAUUAAAACAAGAAAAAAAAAAGAAAAA
rnacentral:rRNA from 1 species